rnacentral:rRNA from 1 species
UGGGGAAUAUUGCACAAUGGGCGCAAGCCUGAUGCAGCCAUGCCGCGUGUAUGAAGAAGGCCUUCGGGUUGUAAAGUACUUUCAGCGGGGAGGAAGGGAGUAAAGUUAAUACCUUUGCUCAUUGACGUUACCCGCAGAAGAAGCACCGGCUAACUCCGUGCCAGCAGCCGGGUAAUACGGAGGGUGCAAGCGUUAAUCGGAAUUACUGGGCGUAAAGCGCACGCAGGCGGUUUGUUAAGUCAGAUGUGAAAUCCCCGGGCUCAACCUGGGAACUGCAUCUGAUACUGGCAAGCUUGAGUCUCGUAGAGGGGGGUAGAAUUCCAUGUGUAGCGGUGAAAUGCGUAGAGAUGUGGAGGAAUACCGGUGGCGAAGGCGGCCCCCUGGACAAAGACUGACGCUCAGGUGCGAAAGCGUGGGGAGCAAACAGG